AUACGGAGGAUGCGAGCGUUAUCCGGAUUUAUUGGGUUUAAAGGGAGCGUAGGCGGGAGCUUAAGUCAGCGGUUAAAUGGUGCGGCUCAACCGUGCCCUGCCGUUGAAACUGGGUUUCUUGAGAGUGCAAGAGGCGGGUUGGAUUCCUGGUGUAGCGGUGUAAUGCUUAGAUAUCAUGAAGAACUCCGAUUGCGAAGGCAGUCCGCUGGGGCACGUCUGACGCUGAUGCUCGAAGGUGCGGGAAUCAAACAGGAUUAGAUACCCUGGUAGUCCGCACGGUAAACGAUGAUUACCCGCUGUCGGCGGCAGACAGUCGGCGGCCAAGCGAAAGCGAUAAGUAAUCCACCUGGGGAGUACGCCGGCAACGGUGAAACUCAAAGGAAUUGGCGGGG
rnacentral:rRNA from 1 species